UACGUAGGGUGCAAGCGUUGUCCGGAAUUAUUGGGCGUAAAGAGCUCGUAGGCGGUUCGUCGCGUCGGCUGUGAAAACCUGAGGCUCAACCUCAGGCCUGCAGUCGAUACGGGCGGACUUGAGUACUGCAGGGGAGACUGGAAUUCCUGGUGUAGCGGUGAAAUGCGCAGAUAUCAGGAGGAACACCGGUGGCGAAGGCGGGUCUCUGGGCAGUAACUGACGCUAAGGAGCGAAAGCGUGGGGAGCGAACAGG
rnacentral:rRNA from 1 species